rnacentral:rRNA from 1 species
GUACAAGCAGUGGGAGCACGCUUAGGCGUGUGACUGCGUACCUUUUGUAUAAUGGGUCAGCGACUUAUAUUCUGUAGCAAGGUUAACCGAAUAGGGGAGCCGAAGGGAAACCGAGUCUUAACUGGGCGUUAAGUUGCAGGGUAUAGACCCGAAACCCGGUGAUCUAGCCAUGGGCAGGUUGAAGGUUGGGUAACACUAACUGGAGGACCGAACCGACUAAUGUUGAAAAAUUAGCGGAUGACUUGUGGCUGGGGGUGAAAGGCCAAUCAAACCGGGAGAUAGCUGGUUCUCCCCGAAAGCUAUUUAGGUAGCGCCUCGUGAAUUCAUCUCCGGGGGUAGAGCACUGUUUCGGCAAGGGGGUCAUCCCGACUUACCAACCCGAUGCAAACUGCGAAUACCGGAGAAUGUUAUCACGGGAGACACACGGCGGGUGCUAACGUCCGUCGUGAAGAGGGAAACAACCCAGACCGCCAGCUAAGGUCCCAAAGUCAUGGUUAAGUGGGAAACGAUGUGGGAAGGCCCAGACAGCCAGGAUGUUGGCUUAGAAGCAGCCAUCAUUUAAAGAAAGCGUAAUAGCUCACUGGUCGAGUCGGCCUGCGCGGAAGAUGUAACGGGGCUAAACCAUG